UGGGGAAUAUUGCACAAUGGGCGAAAGCCUGAUGCAGCAACGCCGCGUGAGUGAUGAAGGUUUUCGGAUUGUAAAGCUCUGUCUUUUGGGACGAUAAUGACGGUACCAAAGGAGGAAGCCACGGCUAACUACGUGCCAGCAGCCGCGGUAAUACGUAGGUGGCGAGCGUUGUCCGGAUUUACUGGGCGUAAAGGGUGCGUAGGCGGAUGUUUAAGUGAGAUGUGAAAUACCCGGGCUUAACUUGGGUGCUGCAUUUCAAACUGGAUAUCUAGAGUGCAGGAGAGGAGAAUGGAAUUCCUAGUGUAGCGGUGAAAUGCGUAGAGAUUAGGAAGAACACCAGUGGCGAAGGCGAUUCUCUGGACUGUAACUGACGCUGAGGCACGAAAGCGUGGGUAGCAAACAGGAUUAGAUACCCUGGUAGUCCACGCCGUAAACGAUGAGUACUAGGUGUAGGAGGUAUCGACCCCUUCUGUGCCGCAGUAAACACAUUAAGUACUCCGCCUGGGAAGUACGAUCGCAAGAUUAAAACUCU
rnacentral:rRNA from 1 species